rnacentral:rRNA from 1 species
GAUGAACGCUGGCGGCGUGCCUAAUACAUGCGAGUCGAGCGAACAGACGAGGAGCUUGCUCCUCUGACGUUAGCGGCGGACGGGUGAGUAACACGUGGAUAACCUACCUAUAAGACUGGGAUAACUUCGGGAAACCGGAGCUAAUACCGGAUAAUAUAUUGAACCGCAUGGUUCAAUAGUGAAAGACGGUUUUGCUGUCACUUAUAGAUGGAUCCGCGCCGCAUUAGCUAGUUGGUAAGGUAACGGCUUACCAAGGCAACGAUGCGUAGCCGACCUGAGAGGGUGAUCGGCCACACUGGAACUGAGCCACGGUCCAGACUCCUACGGGAGGCAGCAGUAGGGAAUCUGCCGCAAUGGGCGAAAGCCUGACGGAGCAACGCCGCGUGAGUGAUGAAGGUCUUCGGAUCGUAAAACUCUGUUAUUAGGGAAGAACAAAUGUGUAAGUAACUAUGCACGUCUUGACGGUACCUAAUCAGAAAGCCACGGCUAACUACGUG